GCCUGAGUAGCUCAGUCGGUAGAGCGCAGGGCUCUGGUCGAUAACCUGGUCCAAAAGGUUGUGGGUUCAAUUCCCACCUCUGCCA
rfam:Xenopus laevis strain J chromosome 4S, whole genome shotgun sequence.